rnacentral:rRNA from 1 species
AUUGAACGCUGGCGGCAUGCUUUACACAUGCAAGUCGAACGGCAGCACGGGCUUCGGCCUGGUGGCGAGUGGCGAACGGGUGAGUAAUGCGUCGGAACGUGCCGAGUAAUGGGGGAUAACGCAUCGAAAGGUGUGCUAAUACCGCAUACGCUCUGAGGAGGAAAGCGGGGGACCUUCGGGCCUCGCGUUAUUCGAGCGGCCGACGUCUGAUUAGCUAGUUGGUGGGGUAAAGGCUCACCAAGGCGACGAUCAGUAGCGGGUCUGAGAGGAUGAUCCGCCACACUGGGACUGAGACACGGCCCAGACUCCUACGGGAGGCAGCAGUGGGGAAUUUUGGACAAUGGGCGAAAGCCUGAUCCAGCCAUGCCGCGUGAGUGAAGAAGGCCUUCGGGUUGUAAAGCUCUUUUGUCCGGGAGGAAAUCCCGUAACCUAAUACGUUACGGGGAUGACAGUACUGGAAGAAUAAGCACCGGCUAACUACGUGCCAGCAGCCGCGGUAAUACGUAGGGUGCAAGCGUUAAUCGGAAUUACUGGGCGUAAAGCGUGCGCAGGCGGUUUGAUAAGUCANAUGUGAAAUCCCCGGGCUUAACCUGGGAACUGCGUUUGAAACUGUC